GUCGUUAUACUUUAAUUAAAAGGCUUAAUUUGCAUUUAAGUAAUAAAGUUUUUGUGCUUUUAAUGACA
rnacentral:tRNA from 1 species